UCUAAUAUGGCAGAUUAGUGCAAUGGAUUUAAGCUCCAAAAAUAAAGUAUUCCUUCUUUUUUUAGAA
rnacentral:tRNA from 1 species